CGGAGAAGAGGAGUGGAAGAGGCACCUCCAGUCCCCCCCCAACAAAGCCUUUCAGCAUGUGAAGGUGGAUACACUGUGCCAGCCAGAGGGGGUGUCCUCUGUAGCCGUGCCAGCCGCCUGGUGCAGCGUGAACAGGGACUGAGCAUGAAGAUAUUCAACCACACGCCAAGACUCCUGAACACCCCCCAGCCCCCCCCAACAUCCUCCUCCAUUCCUCUAGAACCUCCUAAACCCCACCCCCAGCCCCUAGCCCCUCCCCUUUCCUGACUCUUUUUGUAAGUACAUGUUUACACAGUGCAAAUGAAUGGCGUCAACUGCAGUGAAUAUUGAACAAACAGUGCAUUUUACAGCGUGAGCGUAGUUUGCCGGCUCCAGUUGUUUGUUUGUUUUUUUUCGUUUUUGGAGAUAUUUCAUGUAAUGGUCACCUUAUUAACAAUAGCUUUGAGCCACAGGUAGAGUUUGUCAUGUAGCAAGGCCCCCCCCCACACCCCCCCACCCCCCAGUUGAGGUUUUUUUUUCCAUGUAGCAGUUGCUGUUUUGGGAAUGCGACAUAUUUUUCACAAACGUAAGUGUCAGAUUUGCAGAUAGCUCAUUUACGUAGCUGUCAUUCCGUAGUAGCGGUUCACGGACACAGAAAAUGAAGUUGCGUUUUCCGGUUUUCGUCGACCACACACUUUUUGACAUUAUUCUCACAUCAGCCAUUUUGAAGCAACAUCGACGCGUCGGAUAAAGUGAGGACUUUUAGACAAACCUUAAACAGCUGCCACAUUAGCUCGAAAUCUCAGGAAACAAACCGAAUGCUUGAACUUUAGCUCGAAGGUUAGCUAGCUCUCGUAUGCUAGCUCUCAGAGACUUACUUUUCUUAAUCCCUAAUUAAUUCAUUUGGGUGGUGGUUGGGGGGGGGGUUGUCAA